rnacentral:rRNA from 1 species
AUUGAACGCUGGCGGAAUGCUUUACACAUGCAAGUCGAGCGGCAGCGCGGUCUUCGGACUGGCGGCGAGCGGCGAACGGGUGAGUAAUACAUCGGAACAUGCCCAGUCGUGGGGGAUAACACUUCGAAAGAAGUGCUAAUACCGCAUACGUCCUGAGGGAGAAAGCGGGGGAUCGCAAGACCUCGCGCGAUUGGAGUGGCCGAUGUCAGAUUAGCUAGUUGGUGGGGUAAAGGCCUACCAAGGCAACGAUCUGUAGCUGGUCUGAGAGGAUGAUCAGCCACACUGGGACUGAGACACGGCACAGACGCCUACGGGAGGCAGCAGUGGGGAAGUUUGGACAAUGGGGGCAACCCUGAUCCAGCCAUUCCGCGUGAGUGAAGAAGGCCUUCGGGUUGUAAAGCUCUUUCGGCAGGAACGAAACGGCGAGCUCUAACAUAGCUCGCUAAUGACGGUACCUGAAGAAGAAGCACCGGCUAACUACGUGCCAGCCGCCGCCGUAAUAC